CAGAUGUGAAAGACCCGGGGCGUCAACCUCGGAAUUGCAUUUGAAACUAGGCAAACUAGAGUACUGUAGAGGGGGGUAGGAAUUUCAGGUGUAGCGGUGAAAUAGCGUAGAGAUCUGAAGGAAUACCGGUGGCGAAGGCGGCCCCCUCGGACAGAUACUGACACUCAGAUGCGAAAGCGUGGGGAGCAAACAGGAUUAGAUACCCUGGUAG
rnacentral:rRNA from 1 species